CGAGAGAGCUUGCUCUCUUGGCGGCGAGUGGCGGACGGGUGAGUAAUAUAUCGGAACGUGCCCAGUAGCGGGGGAUAACUACUCGAAAGAGUGGCUAAUACCGCAUACGCCCUACGGGGGAAAGGGGGGGAUCGCAAGACCUCUCACUAUUGGAGCGGCCGAUAUCGGAUUAGCUAGUUGGUGGGGUAAAGGCUCACCAAGGCAACGAUCCGUAGCUGGUUUGAGAGGACGACCAGCCACACUGGGACUGAGACACGGCCCAGACUCCUACGGGAGGCAGCAGUGGGGAAUUUUGGACAAUGGGGGAAACCCUGAUCCAGCCAUCCCGCGUGUAUGAUGAAGGCCUUCGGGUUGUAAAGUACUUUUGGCAGAGAAGAAAAGGUAUCCCCUAAUACGGGAUACUGCUGACGGUAUCUGCAGAAUAAGCACCGGCUAACUACGUGCCAGCAGCCGCGGUAAUACGUAGGGUGCAAGCGUUAAUCGGAAUUACUGGGCGUAAAGCGUGUGUAGGCGGUUCGGAAAGAAAGAUGUGAAAUCCCAGGGCUCAACCUUGGAACUGCAUUUUUAACUGCCGAGCUAGAGUAUGUCAGAGGGGGGUAGAAUUCCACGUGUAGCAGUGA
rnacentral:rRNA from 1 species